rnacentral:lncRNA from 1 species
GGCUAGUAUUCCAAAGGUCGUAGGUUCGAAACCCACCGUGGCCGGGCAUAUUUUUCAAGCUCGCCCGGUGUGGAUAUACACUCAGAGUAACACCACAAAUAUCAUAUUCACCUGAGUACACUACACCACCACAGAAAAAAAAAUUCAUGUUGUACUAUUUGCUGUAUAUUAACUGCUGACAAUUUCGUCGUCGAUACGGCUUCCACUAUUGGCACACUCGUGAUUUCGAAGAAAUUAAUAAAUACAUGCUCAUUUAUCAUUUAUUUAGACCACAGUUAGUAAAAUUUUAGACGUAUGCGGUAUUCCAAAUCCCAAUCUAUCUGACCGUAUUUUAGUAAUAGCUUCAAAUAUUCAGAACAUUGUUCUUUCAGUCGCACAUAGUACAAGUAUUACUGUACAUUCAAAGCCAAUGGUAGUAUUUUAUUCGGCUUUAUAUUUGUAUGUGUAUUGAUAUCUAUUUAAUAUUUGAAUUCUAUGCCUUUCCGAGUAAUAUAUUGUGCGGCUAAUGUUUUGUAUUAUUGUUCAUGUUGCACAAUGUGUGACAAUGUACACGCCUUGCGUCAAUUUGACAGUUGACAGUUUAUUUAUCGCAGUCGACGCUGAUUGGUUAGCGUUUAGCAGAUGCGAAAAGGGGAUGAUUGAAUAAAACGCAUGGUUCCGUGCAGGCUCACCUUUCUCCCAGUGAGCCUGUUCGCAGGCUACAUUUAUCUCAAAUAGUAGAUAAAUGGGGGGAGAGUGUUGGAGAUUGUCAAUAUUUAAUAUUUAACAGUUUAUGGCAUACCUGAAGUUAUUUAAUGCGCAAGUGUCAAUCAAAAAAGCAUGCGGUUUGUACAUUGCAAGGACUUUGUGUGAUUGUGUUGAGACGGGGCGAGAAUAAAUAUAUUUUUCAUAAUAGCGUUUGAAAUCUCUACUUUUAGUGAGUUGUUGUGAAUAUAGGAGGCAAUUCACGACAAUCGCAAGAUCUUGAAUUUUUUUCAGAAAGUCAUACAAUAUGACGUCAUAUUGAGAAUAAUUUGCGUAUAAAUGUUAAAUAUCCCAAGAACGAAACAACUUAAGGUAUUUUCGGCAAGGUAUCUCAUUUGCCGGGCCAUUCGGUGGCAACAGAUCUCCCAGCUUGUUAACAAAUAUAGGUAUUUAAGCUACCUCUAUUGAGUCACCGUACUUGAAAUUAAAAGUGGAUAAACUAGUUGCACAUUUUAUGCUAUAAUAUAGAAAAGGUAUCACGUUUACCAAAAUAUCAACAUGUUCAGAAUGUCAAGAUUUCCUUAGCCUUUAAAUAGGAUAAGAAUUUAGCCAUUUGUCUUCAAGUGGACUUUCCAUUCCGAUAUUCAAAUAUAAAAUACAUAAAAAGUAAAGAGAAGUAAACAGACCCAGCAUACAGUAAAAACCCGUGGAUUAAGAACCAGUGGGUCUUCUAAGAACAACCAGUCUGAAUGUUGGGAAUGGACCUUUCCCCAAAUAACUAAAAUUUCGAUCUAGACAAAAAUUUCAUUACAGCUUGAAAGAGCAUCACAAAAUUAGUAAUAUUCCAAAGUUUCGUUGCGAAAUGUUGUAAAAUGAGGAAAAUAGAGCCUUGCGAAGUUUGCAAUUUUCAGUCAUUUUGCAUUACAAACGGGAAAUUGCAGCCCCAACACCCGAAUCGGAUGUCAAUUUCCCGUUUGUAAUACAAAAUGACUGAAAAACGGCAAACUUCGCAAGGCUAUAUUAUUCGCAUUUUACAAGAUUUUGCAACAAAACUUUGGAAUAUUACUAAUUUUGUGAUGCUCUUUCAAGCUGUAAUGAAAUUUUUGUCUAGAUCGAAAUUUUAGUUAUAAGGGGAAAGGUCCAUUACUAUCAAAAGCAACAGAUCCUAUUGUCGUUGGCAAUUACGCGAAACGGAGUCACAA